UACUGUGUGUCAAAAUGAACUUUCCCUAUGCUGUUGUACAAUUUCCGCAAGAAGGAAGGUAUUCCGAACUUCCGACAUCAUGGCUUACAAAAGAUUGUAUUCAAUGUAGAUGGCCAACAACUAAGAAUGCAACUUUCUUUCUUAAAAAAAACAUUCCACCAGAAGCGGAUUGGUUACUUUUUGAUAUCAAAGUAGAAUGCUACUGUGAGACUUUAGAAAAGGCACGAUAAAAAGCAGAAGAUGCUAAUUACGCAACUUCUUGUGAGGAAACCAGGGGACGUUGAAAAAGAGUAAUACACGAAAAACAAUUCGAUACAUAUGAUACUUCUGAUGACAGUGCGCGUGAAGAUUACGAUCCACCUCCGAAGUUAUGCGACACUACACACAAGAAAUUAAAAACUGAUAAAGAGCGGAGUUUAUCCGGAAGAAAAUCUUUGUGUGGCAAACAAUCGAAUGAGAAACAACCUUCUUGUGAAGUUUCACAAAUUGUCGCCGAAAAAGUCUUUUUACGCCAAAUCGUUUGGCGUACAUGGCAAUCAAUUAUCGUACAAGAAACAAUCUUCAUGUGAACAAAAUUCACAAAUUGCUAUCGAAAAAAGCUCUAUG